AUGUCGAAUUCCGCGUCAGGAAUGGCCGUUUGCGACGAAUGCAAACUCAAGUUCCAGGAACUCAAGGCGAAGAGGAGCUUCCGCUUCAUCGUGUUCAAGAUCAAUGAGAAGGUGCAGCAGGUGGUGGUGGACAGGGUCGGGGAAAAAACCGAGAGCUACGAUGAUUUCACAGCCUGCUUGCCAGCUGACGAGUGCCGCUAUGCAGUGUUUGAUUUUGACUUCGUCACUGAUGAGAACUGCCAGAAGAGCAAGAUCUUCUUCAUCUCUUGGGCUCCUGACACAUCAAGGGUGAGGAGCAAGAUGCUGUACGCGAGCUCCAAGGACCGCUUCAAGAGGGAGCUGGAUGGCAUCCAGGUGGAGCUACAGGCGACCGACCCGAGCGAGAUGAGCAUGGACAUCAUAAAGGGGCGAGCCCUCUGA
rnacentral:rRNA from 1 species